UCACGUAAAUUAAAUUUGAUGACAUGUUAAGACGCGACAUUAAGCUCCUAGUCCUAGCCCUAUUCGUAGUAUAUAAAGAGCAACGCUUUGUUCUCUCAAAAAUAAAAUCCAUUAAACUGGGGAAAAAGCCACUUAAAGAAAAAAAAAAUUAAAUUUCGCGUCGUAUGAUCUCAAAUAAAAAUUUUUUAAUAAUUCUUUAACAUCAAACAUGUACCACAAAAAAGUACAAUUGCUCUUUUGAUCAUAUGCAUGGUAAAGAAGAUUUUGCUUCACUUAUAUAUACUGGCAAGUUAUGGUUUUGAUAUAGUAAGAUGUAAUCUAACAUGUUACAAUUGCAAUCUUGAAGACGAUAGAAAUUGUAUCCAUUUCGAUAAAACAUUAGUUCCUUCAAAAUUCUGUAUGGAAAAUGAAAAAUAUUGCAAUGUAAAAAGACUUGAACAGAAUGGCAAAGUUACCUAUUUUAAACGCUUAUGCAGUAAAGAAUGUUUAUCAGAAUGUAUAAAGAUUGAUUCAAACAUUGCUAGCAUAAAUAUGUGUUACUCAUGUUGUUCCCAUAAUCUAUGUAAUAUUGAUAAUAGUGCAAAUAAC